CUACGGAGGAUCCGAGCGUUAUCCGGAUUUAUUAGGUUUAAAGGGUGCGCAGGCGGGAAGAUAAGUCAGCGGUGAAAUCCCGGAGCUCAACUCCGGAACUGCCGUUGAUACUGUUUUUCUUGAGUGCGGUUGAGGUAGGCGGAAUGUGCAGUGUAGCGGUGAAAUGCUUAGAUAUUGCACAGAACACCGAUUGCGAAGGCAGCCUGCUAAACCGUAACUGACGCUGAGGCACGAAAGCGCGGGGAGCGAACAGGAUUAGAAACCCUAGUAGUCC
rnacentral:rRNA from 1 species